GACUACGUCCAUGUCACCCUGAACAAGCCCGAUCUCAUCAGAUCUCAGAAGUUAAGCAGGGUCAGGUCUGGUUAGUACUUGGAUGGGAGGCCACCUAGGAAGACCAGGUGCCAUAGGCG
ensembl:rRNA 5S_rRNA 5S ribosomal RNA